GGGAACUAUUUCGGACGUAUACUGUGAAUUUGGGCCAAAUGGGCUAGGUGCCACUGCAUACGAGCUGAUCGCUGCGCAUGUGUGGCUCGACGAGCUGUCUGCUCUUUGCUCGGUCGGCAUCUCCAACGAGAGGACCAGACCGAUCCAUGGGGAGGCGAAGUUGAUGCAUCUACAGCCGAAGCGGCAGGGGACUGUUGGGUGGACGAUAAAUCCGGCAAUCGAUCUUCAGUUUCAGGAAGCAUUUAUCACGAUUGAUGUGCACCGCUCACCGGCUGCAAUUAAAUGGAGAUCUCACGCGAGGGAAGCUACUCCCGUAGCUAUGGACCCCUGAGGUUAAUUGGGUCAGUUUUCCCCGUUGGGUCCAAGCAGCGAAGGCCCUUCUCUCGCAGCGCCUCCUCCGAAUCCCGACCUCUCCUACCACUGCCGCGCCCCACCCAAACGUUGACCCCGACGGUGUCCACCAUGACGCCUGAGUUUGCCGAAGGCGGCACCACUGGAACCGGCGUCCGCAAACGGCUCCUGUCCAUGGGCAGGGUCGACGCAGUUCCUCGACCCCGGCCUAUCUCGCGGUCAUAGGGCGAACCCUUGGUGCCGCGCCACCAUGACCUCCUGGUCGCGACUCCUCGCGGCGCCGAUGACCACCCGUCCGGUAACCAAGCCCGUGUCCAGUACACGGUGCACUUCGGCGCUAACACGCGAUGCAGGACGGGUACACACACAAUGGCGCUGAAGGUGUUCCGAAGAGCAGGGUAUUUUUGUGGUUAAACAGGCAUCUGACGCAGGGAAGGGGGUGUGAGCAUUCUCUAACCAUGUACAGUACUUUAUCUGAAGGGUAUAGACGGGAUUUCCUGUUACUUGAACCUUUUAUCUGGAAUGCAUGGAUUGUUAGAGGGCUGUAGCCUGUAGAUGCACUACGGUUUUGCAAAUUGUGAUGAUUUGAAAAUAGGGAUCACUCCCAUCACCUCAAGAACUGCACCUUCUACCAUAACUGAAUUCAGUGUUGUUAAAAAAAACUAAAUUCAGUAUUAAUUGUUAAGUUGUGUAGUGAUAUUCCUACUAUUUAUUUAUUUGUGAUGCAGUUAAGCAGUUGCUUUCUUGUUUGCAUGAAAGACGAAAUCAUUGAGGGAAUUUAUGAUACUUUCUCGGAAUGCGCUUCCAUAAGCAAAUCUAUGUCAAUUCACAAUGUUUGAGCUACUACAGUUACAUUCGAGGAACUAAUGGAAUUGUCCCCAUCCUGCGUGUUUUCAGUGAUACUGCACGCUGUGUUGAUCAAGGUGGAGGAAAGAGAAAAGGUAAGUAGCAUCAGCUGGUUGGACCCAAUUUACAUAUUCUUAAUGGUUCUAUAUUUUAGGUGCAUUUGCUAUAUAUUUGGAGCCUUGGCAUGCUGAUAUUUAUGAGUUCCUUGAUUUGAGAAAGAACCAUCGGAAGGUAAACAUUCUAGAAGUAAUACGUAAAACACUUUCAGGCAGAGAUACCCGAAACUGAUUACCAGUUUGGAUUUACUUUUUUCGCACUGGAUCACCACCCUCAUGCUAUUGAUCUAUUUGUUCAUUUAUCAGGAACUAUUUGCAAUGGGAAAAUCAUUUUAAUUAAUCUAAAUCAAUUGUUUAUGUACAAUUAGUUGUUCAUGUUUUUUUAUUAUCUCCUGUAUUUUUAGUUGUUCAAGUGCUCCAUAUCUGCUUGUCCUCUGUAUAUUGUAAGAGGGUGAUAACAAGAGUGGAUCUCUCAAGCUAAUUAGGCUUGAUACUUCACACCCUCCGAUACAAUUUAUUUGGUCUGGUAAGGCCCUGAAGCAUACUAUAGUUACAAAAUUGAUCUUGGCUUUGUUUUCUAUUCUUUUCGUAGCCAUCAACUUGUCGGAAUCAUUCAAACAAAAGCAAAAUCAUUUGGCCUACAAGGAAUAGUAAAUGAUAGAACAUGCAUGGUUCAUGAAUCCUGAUAAGCGGCACCUAUUAUCAACCAUUGCUGUUAAAUUUGAGCAUCAACCAGAAAUAAGGUGACAUUGCCAAAGUGCAGAGUUUUUCCAAUUACUCUUUAAUUACUUCUGGUCACGAACCAUUUGGUUUUAAAGUGCGAAAUAUUGCAUGGGAUAUCCCUUAUGUAACUGUAACCGGAGAAUAUUUUGUCAUAUGAGUAGUUUUUAUUAUUCCAAACCAUGCAAUUAGAGGAUUCAGAAUUCCUCGCUAGGGAGACCCUGUUUAUGUCCAUGCUAUCAAUUCUCUUGCUAUUAACGUCUAAGAGAACAUCUCUUGCCGGAAGGGGUAGAGCUAGGAAUUUUAUUAAUUGGGUCUGUAGUAUCGUGCAGAUCACUGAUACUAGAAGGGCUUUGAGGCCACGAUUAUGUUGGAAUUUGGUUUUACUUUUUGCGUUAUAUUUCCCAUUUUCAUUACAGGAUUUCACUUCUAUUACGCCUAUUUUUUUUAGCAUGGCCUUUUAUCUACUACAUUUCAUGUAGUAAAUAAUAUUUCCGGCCAAAACGUCACCCCCUGCAGACAUCUAAUUAGAAGCUUGGAACAUAGAAAUAAGACUUACCCUUCAAUAACUUAGUAGGUGUUAACAUGUUUGGAAGCUACCUUCAUGCAUACAAUAGAGAUGAGGUACUCUGGUUUUUUCUUAUCGAGUUGGCGUUAAUGCAUGAUUAAGGUGGGGAUGAUGCCUGUAGUGGAACAUGUUGCUGAAGAAUUCUACACAGAGCUUCUUAAAUGUGUACUGUUGUGACUCGGGGAAGUUUUAGUAGGACCUAUGUUAAUUUGUAGUCAAAUUGCCUUUAUAUUUUGUGCUUAUGUUUUAUUAUAGCUAGCACCAAACAAUUAUAGUGUUUAUUAAGCGAUUUCCUUCUGAUUUUGUUGUUUUUGAAGAUUUAGUACGUUCAACCUGAUCCCGGCUAGGACACAGACCAUUAUGAUGCAUCAAGUAUUGGAUUGAGAAAUCUGUACCAUGUUGACCAUAUCUCUCCCAAAUAUGUGCAAUGUUCAUCAAAAUAAAAUGAAUGGCUAUAUUGUUCUUUUUGAAAUAGAAUAGAAAGAUGAAAUGCCUUUAUAACCUUCAUAUAUAUAUUCCUAAAUCAUCCUGCAAAAUUAACUGAACAUGACUAGGCACGGCCGAGCAUCAGGAAAUAUGUAGUGAAAUCGAUUAACUAACACUCCAAGCAUUCAGAUACGCCAGCAUAAAGCAAUACGCGGUGGUCAGACGAACGAACAGGUGCGAACGGGGAAUCCUAAUCAUAGAACGCAAAUUAUGGACUCGAACCAAUCCCAUGAGUGAUUAUGCAUCCGCCGCAUCCAGAUCUAGUGACAGGCAACACAAAUCCGACGCCGAACCGAUGGAUUGGGCUGGCUAGCAUCGCGUGAUUUGGGGCCGGGUUCGUACCUCUGGCUGGAGCAGAGGCCCGCACCCGAGGUGGGUGAUGAAACGAUGAUCGGGGAGCUUGCCGGACUCCGUCCGCGCCUAGGGCCGGCCGCCGGUGUCGUCGCCGCGUAGUGGGUAUGGUGUGGGUCGGAAGGGAGGCGUCGCUUGGUUCGGGUGCGGUGCAGAGAGAGAGAGAGCCAGAGAGGGGAAUGGAAUGGGGGGAAAGUAUCCUAUACUCCAAUGGAUUGGGUGCUCCGGCUGCACCGUACGCAGCUCAUCCAUCAGAUACAGAAUACAAGGUUAGGAUGAAACCCGAACGCCCCGCUCUUAGAAUUUUGCCAAAAGGCGCCCCACAUAAGCACAAAAGGCGCCCCCGUUACUUAGGUGUGCCACAGUUUGGAACAGAAAGAACAAAAAGCAUCAGGGGCCUGGCGGCGGAUCUCGCCGUGGGCUGCGCUGCCACACCGGUGGAACAAGCUCGCUGCAGUACGGACGUACUCUGCUCCGACGUCCAGCGGGAAACUCGCCCCACCUCUGCCCCGCCAUUAUCCACCUCGACGCAACCCCCUCCACAGCCACACACUCCUGCCUAGCUCCGCCAUCUACCGACGCCGGAGAAGAGAACUCCGAGCCUUCAGGUAUUCUUUUAGAUGUUACGAAUUUGUGUUACUAUUAUGUGUUUUGGAUCUAAUCAUUUGUUCCCUUUAUACUGAUUUUUGGAGUUGUAGCCAAUCGUAUCUUGAGUAGAUGUCUUUCUGUAUCUUGGCGCGGCAAACUUAGUCAGAGAAAUUGCUAUAUUUUGCUUACACUGCAUAUUCUAGCAAUUAUGUAUAGUAAAAAUUUUAGAAACUUAUGGCCUGGUAGUGUACAUGAGUGAAGUAAUUUUAUCUACUUGUUCAAGUCCUGAACAUGAAGUGCUUGUUGGCACAAGUUGUGAUAUUCUGCUUGAAGGCACAGCCGCACAAGACUGAGAUUCAUUAACACUUGCAAUAUGUUCCUACAGGUGUGAUAAAAUGGCAUUUUAUUCCUACAGAUCUCACUUUGUGGUGAUAUCAUGCUAUGUGUCCAUGGCAAAAAGGCUAUGCUAUAUUAUGCUGCUGUACUCAAGACCAUUUUCACAAGCACUCCUUUUCUUUUCCUUAAUUCAUCUAAAUGCCAAUGCAUUCCAUAUACAUUAUCAUUCUUCGCUACUUUAGCAUGGGAUUAUUGUUUUCUUAGACUUCGAUGUGCUACAGCUCUCAUGACAAUCUAACUCUUAGUUGUUGCUGGAUGUAAUAUCUAAAAAUUAUUUCUGCACGGAGCAUGGAAGGAUGGAGUCAAUGGCAAGCAUUGCUUCAAGUGUCGGAUCAUCUACAAUGAAUGGGACCUGAAGAUGAUGCCAACAACUUUUCCAUGAGCAAGCAGUAUCCAAAAAGUUUGAAGAUAGAUUAUUCAAUUUACUAAGUUGGCAAUGGUAGCUCAAAUGGUGUGUUUAUAUUUUGAUCCUCUUUGAUUAAAACAUAUUCAGAAUUUGGAAGUCUUCGACUAAAACUUGUUUAUUAGUAGCAUCUAGAUUUACAGCCCAUGGGAGCGGACAUUAGUUGGUGCAGUAUAUGUGUACCUGCUAUACCUGGUUUAUUAGUAACAUCUAGAUUUGAUCGUUGAAGUAUGUGGUUGAUGGUAGAAUUAUGUGUAAUGUCAUGAGCCCGAUUCAGAAAGCAUUCACGACAUAUUAUUGCUGUAAUAUUAACUUCGCAAUGUCAAGAUGGAUUAAAAAGGUGGUGGAAUGCCAAUGAAUGAUUGUUGAUUGAUCCUUUUGCA